rnacentral:rRNA from 1 species
UACGUAGGCAGCGAGCGUUGUUCGGAGUUACUGGGCGUAAAGGGUGUGUAGGCGGUUGUUUAAGUUUGGUGUGAAAUCUCCCGGCUCAACUGGGAGGGUGCGCCGAAUACUGAAUGACUUCGAGUGCGGGAGAGGAAAGUGGAAGUUCCUGGUGUAGCGGUGAAAUGCGUAGAUAUCAGGAGGAACACCGGUGGUGUAGACGGCUUUCUGGACCGUAACUGACGCUGAGACACGAAAGCGUGGGUAGCAAACAGG